rnacentral:rRNA from 1 species
AUUGAACGCUGGCGGCAGGCCUAACACAUGCAAGUCGAACGGAGUGGCGGACGGGUGAGUAAUGUCUGGGAAACUGCCUGGUAGUGGGGGAUAACGUCCGGAAACGGGCGCUAAUACCGCAUACUAUCAGAUGAGCCUAGGUCGGAUGAGCUAGUUGGUGGGGUAAAGGCCUACCAAGGCGACGAUCCGUAACUGGUCUGAGAGGAUGAUCAGCCACACUGGAACGUAGACACGGUCCAGACUCCUACGGGAGGCAGCAGUGGGGAAUAUUGGACAAUGGGCGAAAGCCUGAUCCAGCCAUGCCGCGUGUGUGAAGAAGGUCUUCGGAUUGUAAAGCACGUUAAGUUGGGAGGCGUUACCAACAGAAUAAGCACCGGCUAACUUCGUGCCAGCAGCCGCGGUAAUAC